rnacentral:tRNA from 1 species
GUCCUCGUAGCUCAGCAGGAUAGAGCAUCAGUUUCCUAAACUGAGGGCCGAGGGUUCGACUCCCCCCGAGGACG